rnacentral:rRNA from 1 species
UACGGAGGGUGCAAGCGUUAAUCGGAAUUACUGGGCGUAAAGCGCACGCAGGUGGCUGAGUCAGUCGAUUGUGAAAGCCCUGGGCUUAACCUGGGAAUUGCAGUCGAUACUACUCAGCUAGAGUAUGGGAGAGGGUAGUGGAAUUCCCGGUGUAGCGGUGAAAUGCGUAGAUAUCUGGAGGAACACCGGUGGCGAAGGCGGCAUCCUGGACCAAUACUGACGCUCAUGUGCGAAAGCGUGGGGAGCGAACAGG